CAAUUCUGUGAGGUAUAAUGUGUUGUCGCAAGUGGCUCGUGAUGUGUUAGCAUUUCCCGUCUCUACAGUUGCAUCCGAGUCGGCUUUUAGCACCGGAGGACGCAUAUUUGAUCCUUUUCGCAGCUCACUUUCUCCUGCGAUGGUAGAGAUGCUUGUAUGUGGACAAAAUUGGCUUCGAAAUGAUGUCCCCAUUUCUCUUCGUAAGGCAAUGGAUGACAUUGAGCAAUAUGAAUCCUACGACUCAGUUUUACUGGAUCAAGAUCAACCUCAAACUCAAGCCUUGGUUCAGGUUGAUUAACUAUCAUCGACAAUGGAUUUUGGUAUAAUGCUUUUUGUGGAUAUUUUGCAGCCGAACACUCUAAUUUUAUGGCUGUUUUUUUUGUGGGUUUGAAGUGGUAUAGUAUGAAUGGGGUAUAGUUUUUGAAGUGGUACAAAAUCAACAUGGGGUAUAGUCUUGUUGAAGUUUGAAUGGGGUAUAGUUUUUGAUGUGGACUUUAAUUUACUUUGA